rnacentral:rRNA from 1 species
UACGGAGGAUGCAAGCGUUAUCCGGAUUUAUUGGGUUUAAAGGGUGCGUAGGCGUAUAUGUAAGUCAGCGGUGAAACUCACAGGCUCAACCUGUGCCGUGCCGUUGAAACUGUGUAUCUGGAAUGCGGAUGCUGUGGGAGGAAUGUGUAGUGUAGCGGUGAAAUGCAUAGAUAUUACACAGAACACCGAUUGCGAAGGCAUCUCACAAAGCCGUUAUUGACGCUGAGGCACGAAAGUGUGGGGAUCAAACA